rnacentral:rRNA from 1 species
CAAUAGCGUAUAUUAAAGUUGUUGCAGUUCAAAAGCUCGUAGUUGGAUUUGUGGCGUACGGUGUGUUCCGGGCACUUGUUGUCUGAGUAACCUGCUGUUGCCAUCCUUGGGUGGAACCUGUGUGGCAUUAGGUUGUCGUGCAGGGGAUGCCCAUCAUUUACUGUGAAAAAAUUAGAGUGUUCAAAGCAGGCUUAUGCCGUUGAAUAUAUUAGCAUGGAAUAAUGAGAUAGGACUUUUUUGCUAUUUUGUUGGUUUGCGCAAGAAGGUAAUGAUUAAUAGGGACAGUUGGGGGUAUUCGUAUUCCAUUGUCAGAGGUGAAAUUCUUGGAUUUUUGGAAGACGAACUACUGCGAAAGCAUUUACCAAGGAUGUUUUCAUUAA